CUCUGGCCAGCUUCUAAUGGUCGUCUUGUGGAGCUGCCCCAGCUGUGGCUGCAUACGGAGGAAUCCUCAACCUUGACCUCAGAGUAUUAUGAAUUUUCUGAAAUCAGGGAUAAAGAGCUGGUACUUGGAUUUACUCUCUUUUUAUUGCAUAGUCAACUACAGCCAUUCUGUCAAAGAGAAGGCUCUGAACUUGAACUCUCUUGGUGAAACUUGGCCAGGAUUUUCCAGCUCAAGCUGCAUUUCACCCUGGAACACAAGCCACUGA
rnacentral:lncRNA from 1 species